AAGCGUGAAGGAUAACGUUGCGUCAGCAACGGCCCGUAGGGCGAGGCGAAGCCGAGUCAUCCUGCACAACCCACCA
rnacentral:sRNA from 1 species